CCUACGGGGGGCAGCAGUGAGGAAUAUUGGUCAAUGGGAGGAAUCCUGAACCAGCCAUGCCGCGUGCAGGACGACGGCUCUACGAGUUGUAAACUGCUUUUGUACGGGAGUAAAAUGCUCUACGAGUAGGGUUUUGAAAGUACGGUACGAAUAAGGAUCGGCUAACUCCGUGCCAGCAGCCGCGGUAAUACGGAGGAUCCGAGCGUUAUCCGGAUUUAUUGGGUUUAAAGGGUGCGUAGGUUGUUUUAUAAGUUAGCGGUGAAAUACCGAUGCUCAACCUCGGGGCUGCCGCUAAUACUGUAGGACUAGAGAUCGGAUGCAGCAGGCGGAAUGUGUAGUGUAGCGGUGAAAUGCAUAGAUAUUACACAGAACACCGAUUGCGAAGGCAGCUUGCUAGGCCGGAUCUGACACUGAUGCACGAAAGCGUGGGUAGCAAACAGGAUUAGAUACCCUUGUAGUC
rnacentral:rRNA from 1 species